GAUGAGAGAGGCCAGUGAGGUUGUAAAGACGGCGGCCGCGGCUUAUCGAGGGUAGUCGAAAGAAGGAACUAAGACACGGAACUCGAACGAGCAGGCGUGGACGUCGGUGGGGGUGUAGAGCUAAGAGACAACGUCGGUGUCCCACGGGGUGUCGAGCUAAGCGGCAAGGUCGGUGUCACACUGGAAGCUGCCGCCGACCAAAAAGAGGAGCACACGUAGGAGCCAGAGGAUCCGACCAUUUAUCACUACCUCCCCAUCGUCCCGGGUUCGACCUCGACGCGUUCCCUCCUCCGCUCUAGUAGCUAGACGCGCCACAACAAGGACAGUCGCAAGUACGUCCACUACACCCGCACCUAAAGCAGAGGGCGACAGUCGAAACUAGGUAGAAAUCAUACUCCUACCACCUCUGUAAAAGACGGGGAACUCGCGGUCUGCGUAGGAUGUGUAGCCGCUGUAAGAAGCUUCCUACCCGUAUUAUAUAGGAAGGUUGACUAGAAGUAAAGAAGGAAAACGAAGUGAAGCACAGAAAGAAGAAGGUAUGGAUAAAACUGCCCUUGAGACGUAUACAAUUAAGAGACCGAAGGAGUGUGUAGAACACACAGAGGUAGAUGACACACCUUUCAAUUAGAAAGUUACGUCCCUAGAGACUUCACGUAAAGUUUAACUUUAUAAGAGGUUGUGCACAGUAGAGAACUAGAGUAACAAAGCAUAAUCGUGGCGCCUAACCAGUAGUGGAAAUAAAUACAUAAAUUUUUCUUUCACCGUCCGCUGCCUGCUGAUGUUUCUAGUUACCGCUACGCGGACGACAAGAAACCUGGCUCCUCUCAUGGAACGAGACGACGAAGUCUGGACCCGGCUGGAACGAGCAGGUUUACCGACGUUGGUAGACGUGACUACUAGCUACAGUAUACCUUUAGUACACCCUUAUUCGUACGCGAGAGGUUAGAGGUACCUGCGGUCACGGAGCAGACGGAGGUAGACGUGGGCGGCGACGUCGCACCGGGGCCGCAGAAUGAGAGGCUACAACGACGACGGUACCACAGCAUUCGUAGACAGACGACGAGUUGACGUCGCAUGGUGGUGAACUUCGCCGACAUUCUCAGGAUCCCGUUUUAGGUAGGGGUACGUUCGAAGGAGGUGUCCCGUACCACCGCCGCACGCUUUUUUCCUCAGCUUUUGGACCCGCUCCCUAGAAAAGGAGAAUAAAAACACAAACACUUUAGCACACCUAGGACUCUUUAACGUACUUAGACACAUUGCACUUACAUUAAAAAAAGAUACAUGCACAUUCGAUUUUUUCUAAAUACAUGCACAUAUACGGUUGAGUGCACGUGUAUACCCAGUAAAAAAUUAUCUUAACUCUCUGACAAAUCUUAACUCUCUAACAAAGACUAAACCACGCAUCCC
rnacentral:rRNA from 1 species